rnacentral:rRNA from 1 species
CCGGAGAAUGUUAUCACGGGAGACACACGGCGGGUGCUAACGUCCGUCGUGAAGAGGGAAACAACCCAGACCGCCAGCUAAGGUCCCAAAGUCAUGGUUAAGUGGGAAACGAUGUGGGAAGGCCCAGACAGCCAGGAUGUUGGCUUAGAAGCAGCCAUCAUUUAAAGAAAGCGUAAUAGCUCACUGGUCGAGUCGGCCUGCGCGGAAGAUGUAACGGGGCUAAACCAUGCACCGAAGCUGCGGCAGCGAACGUAUCACUUAAAGCGAUUCAGCGGGUUACGAUUGACGGAGCGAAGCGACGUCAAAGCGUAUACAAAGUCGAGUCGGUUUAAGGAUACGUUCGUUGGGUAGGGGAGCGUUCUGUAAGCCUGUGAAGGUGGCCUGUGAGGGUUGCUGGAGGUAUCAGAAGUGCGAAUGCUGACAUAAGUAACGAUAAAGCGGGUGAAAAGCCCGCUCGCCGGAAGACCAAGGGUUCCUGUCCAACGUUAAUCGGGGCAGGGUGAGUCGACCCCUAAGGCGAGGCCGAAAGGCGUAGUCGAUGGGAAACGGGUUAAUAUUCCCGUACUUGGUGUUACUGCGAAGGGGGGACGGAGAAGGCUAUGUUGGCCGGGCGACGGUUGU